rnacentral:rRNA from 1 species
GAUGAACGCUGGCGGCGUGCCUAAUACAUGCAAGUCGAGCGAACAGAUGAGGAGCUUGCUCCUCUGACGUUAGCGGCGGACGGGUGAGUAACACGUGGAUAACCUACCUAUAAGACUGGGAUAACUUCGGGAAACCGGAGCUAAUACCGGAUAAUAUAUUGAACCGCAUGGUUCAAUAGUGAAAGACGGUUUUGCUGUCACUUAUAGAUGGAUCCGCGCCGCAUUAGCUAGUUGGUAAGGUAACGGCUUACCAAGGCAACGAUGCGAAGCCGACCUGAGAGGGUGAUCGGCCACACUGGAACUGAGACACGGUCCAGACUCCUACGGGAGGCAGCAGUAGGGAAUCUUCCGCAAUGGGCGAAAGCCUGACGGAGCAACGCCGCGUGAGUGAUGAAGGUCUUCGGAUCGUAAAACUCUGUUAUUAGGGAAGAACAAAUGUGUAAGUAACUAUGCACGUCUUGACGGUACCUAAUCAGAAAGCCACGGCUAACUACGUG